ACAAAACUGAUCGUCGUGAAAUAUGUGUAAAUUAGUAAAUAAAAAAAUAUUCGUCGCAGUGCUAAAUAUAGAGUUACGUUUGGCCAAAGGCUCCGGAAAGUACGCAACGCGACAUUGGCAUUGAAUCGAUCUGCAGCACAACGAGCCGGUUUAUUGCCUUUCUUAUAAAUACUGACCUGCGGAUUUCAGUCCCAUUGAUAAAUCUGCAUCGACAGUGAAACGUUCGUCGCGAGAUGUACACGAAUCCGUUCUCGAGGACGCAUUCAACAAUUCGCCAUGUCAUUGACAACUUGUUCAACAAGGAUUUUGGCAAAGGUCACAAGGACAAUGGGAGAAAGUUCAGCACUUCGAGUGUGCAGAGUAAAAGUCAGGAGAGUUUUGGCGGUUGGAAGAGGAAAACUUCAAAUCAGUGACAACACAUUUGGAUUAGAAUCAUGAACAUCUAUAAACGGAAGGUUGUAAAUCAAACAAGGAGUACAAAUUAAGUGACUGAGUGUGACAAUUAAUAUAAGUAUUUAUGUGUUAAUUAUUUAUUAUUUAUUUUAAUUAUUAUCAAUAAAAUUUUGUUGAGUUGUCUAAAAUAA